AUAUAUAUAUAUAUAUAUGUAUAUAUAUAUAUAUAUAUAUAUAUAUACACACAUACAUAUAUAUAUAUAUAUAUAUAUAUACACACAUAUAUAUACACACACAUAUAUAUA
rnacentral:miRNA from 1 species